rnacentral:rRNA from 1 species
UACGGGGGGGGCAAGCGUUGUUCGGAAUUACUGGGCGUAAAGGGUUCGUAGGUGGCUCGCUAAGUCAGACGUGAAAUCCCUCAGCUUAACUGGGGAACUGCGUCUGAGACUGGCAAGCUUGAGUGCAGGAGAGGAACGCGGAAUUCCAGGUGUAGCGGUGAAAUGCGUAGAUAUCUGGAGGAACACCGAUGGCGAAGGCAAUCCCCUGGGCCUGCACUGACGCUCAUGCACGAAAGCGUGGGGAGCAAACGGG